CGGAUUAGCGGCGGACGGGUGAGUAACACGUGAGUAACCUGCCUUAGACAUUGGGAUAGCCUCGGGAAACCGGGAUUAAUACCAAAUAAAAUCAUAAUGACACAUGUCAUAACGAUCAAAACUCCGGUGGUCUAAGAUGGACUCGCGUCCCAUUAGCUAGUUGGUAGAGUAAAAGCCUACCGAGGCGACGAUGGGUAGCCGGCCUGAGAGGGUGAACGGCCACAUUGGAACUGAGAAACGGUCCAA
rnacentral:rRNA from 1 species